rnacentral:rRNA from 1 species
AGUGAACGCUGGCGGUAGGCCUAACACAUGCAAGUCGAACGGCAGCACAGGAGAGCUUGCUCUCUGGGUGGCGAGUGGCGGACGGGUGAGGAAUACAUCGGAAUCUACUCUGUCGUGGGGGAUAACGUAGGGAAACUUACGCUAAUACCGCAUACGACCUACGGGUGAAAGCAGGGGAUCUUCGGACCUUGCGCGAUUGAAUGAGCCGAUGUCGGAUUAGCUAGUUGGCGGGGUAAAGGCCCACCAAGGCGGCGAUCCGUAGCUGGUCUGAGAGGAUGAUCAGCCACACUGGAACUGAGACACGGUCCAGACUCCUACGGGAGUCAGCAGUGGGGAAUAUUGGACAGUGGGCGCAAGCCUGCUCCAGCCAUACCGCGUGGGUGAAGAAGGCCUUCGGGUUGUAAAGCCCUUUUGUUGGGAAAGAAAUCCAGCUGGCUAAUACCCGGUUGGGAUGACGGUACCCAAAGAAUAAGCACCGGCUAACUUCGUGCCAGCCGCCGCCGUAA